rnacentral:rRNA from 1 species
GACGAACGCUGGCGGCGUGCUUAACACAUGCAAGUCGAACGGAAAGGCCCUGCUUUUGUGGGGUGCUCGAGUGGCGAACGGGUGAGUAACACGUGAGUAACCUGCCCUUGACUUUGGGAUAACUUCAGGAAACUGGGGCUAAUACCGGAUAGGAGCUCCUGCUGCAUGGUGGGGGUUGGAAAGUUUCGGCGGUUGGGGAUGGACUCGCGGCUUAUCAGCUUGUUGGUGGGGUAGUGGCUUACCAAGGCUUUGACGGGUAGCCGGCCUGAGAGGGUGACCGGCCACAUUGGGACUGAGAUACGGCCCAGACUCCUACGGGAGGCAGCAGUGGGGAAUACUGCACAAUGGGCGGAAGCCUGAUGCAGCAACGCCGCGUGCGGGAUGACGGCCUUCGGGUUGUAAACCGCUUUCGCCUGUGACGAAGCGUGAGUGACGGUAAUGGGUAAAGAAGCACCGGCUAACUACGUGCCAGCAGCCGCGGUGAUACGUAGGGUGCGAGCGUUGUCCGGAUUUAUUGGGCGUAAAGGGCUCGUAGGUGGUUGAUCGCGUCGGAAGUGUAAUCUUGGGGCUUAACCCUGAGCGUGCUUUCGAUACGGGUUGACUUGAGGAAGGUAGGGGAGAAUGGAAUUCCUGGUGGAGCGGUGGAAUGCGCAGAUAUCAGGAGGAACACCAGUGGCGAAGGCGGUUCUCUGGGCCUUUCCUGACGCUGAGGGGCGAAAGCGUGGGGAGCGAACAGGCUUAGAUACCCUGGUAGUCCACGCUGUAAACGGUGGGUACUAGGUGUGGGGUCCAUUCCACGGGUUCCGUGCCGUAGCUAACGCUUUAAGUACCCCGCCUGGGGAGUACGGCCGCAAGGCUAAAACUCAAAGGAAUUGACGGGGCCCCGCACAAGCGGCGGAGCAUGCGGAUUAAUUCGAUGCAACGCGUAGAACCUUACCUGGGUUUGACAUGGAUCGGGAGUGCUCAGAGAUGGGUGUGCCUCUUUUGGGGUCGGUUCACAGGUGGUGCAUGGCUGUCGUCAGCUCGUGUCGUGAGAUGUUGGGUUAAGUCCCGCAACGAGCGCAACCCUUGUUCACUGUUGCCAGCACGUUAUGGUGGGGACUCAGUGGAGACCGCCGGGGUCAACUCGGAGGAAGGUGGGGAUGACGUCAAGUCAUCAUGCCCCUUAUGUCCGGGGCUUCACGCAUGCUACAAUGGCUGGUACAGAGAGUGGCGAGCCUGUGAGGGUGAGCGAAUCUCGGAAAGCCGGUCUCAGUUCGGAUUGGGGUCUGCAACUCGACCUCAUGAAGUCGGAGUCGCUAGUAAUCGCAGAUCAGCAACGCUGCGGUGAAUACGUUCCCGGG